rnacentral:rRNA from 1 species
UACGUAGGGGGCGAGCGUUGUCCGGAGUUACUGGGCGUAAAGGGCAUGCAGGCGGUCGGGCGCGUUUUGUGUGACAGCGGGUGGCUCAACUACCCGAGCAUGCGAAAGACGGUCGGACUUGAGGACUCGAGAGGGACACGGAAUUCCGGGUGGAGUGGUGAAAUGCGUAGAGAUCCGGAGGAACACCGAAGGCGAAGGCAGUGUCCUGGCGAGUGACUGACGCUGAGGUGCGAAAGCCAGGGGAGCGAACGGG